rnacentral:rRNA from 1 species
GACGAACGCUGGCGGCGCGCCUAACACAUGCAAGUCGAACGGAGCUGAGAGGAGCUUGCUUUUCUCAGCUUAGUGGCGAACGGGUGAGUAACGCGUGAGUAACCUGCCCUGGAGUGGGGGACAACAGUUGGAAACGACUGCUAAUACCGCAUAAGCCCACGAUCCGGCAUCGGAUUGAGGGAAAAGGAUUUAUUCGCUUCAGGAUGGACUCGCGUCCAAUUAGCUAGUUGGUGAGGUAACGGCCCACCAAGGCGACGAUUGGUAGCCGGACUGAGAGGUUGAACGGCCACAUUGGGACUGAGACACGGCCCAGACUCCUACGGGAGGCAGCAGUGGGGGAUAUUGCACAAUGGGGGAAACCCUGAUGCAGCGACGCCGCGUGGAGGAAGAAGGUUUUCGGAUUGUAAACUCCUGUCGUUAGGGACGAUAAUGACGGUACCUAACAAGAAAGCACCGGCUAA